rnacentral:misc_RNA from 1 species
GUGUCGUUUCAGUUUCAGAUACUGCGUCCGCAGUAGUUGAAAGCGUCGCGACAUGAACGGAUCUGGUGGAGGCGUCGCGAUAAAUGUGCAGGUUACGUAGUGGGAAGUUCGAAAGCGAUCGCAUGUGGUAGAUAACACCAAACUAAACCAGCCCAACCCUCCGAAACUACCAAAGCACAACCACGUCAAACCUGCCAGACCGAGCAUAUCAUUCUAACCUCAACGCCACCACAAAUCACGUCCUCAUCAAUGAAUCCAUGGAUGCUUUCUUCCUCAACCAAAGCCAUCUGGCCUUCUACAGUACAAACCACGCGGACUUCUCGACUGACAACGUUUCGGACUCGGACGUCAAUAUCACUAGGUCUUUCCCCAGGUUAAGUUCGCCUCUGGCAGUGACCAUAGCAGUAUUACUAGUGUUCCUUUUCUCGCCGAUGAUCCUCAUAGGGAACUCGCUCUUCCUGGUGGCGAUGUACCGGUUCAAAAGAUUGCGCACGCCCAGUAACUACCUCUUCAUGUCGCUGGCGACGUCGGAUUUGGGCAUCGGGAUGUUCAUGCCCAUCGGGAUGUACUUGGAGCUCGGAGGCACCCAGAACUUCACCAGCAUCCGGAUCUGCUUGUUCAGCUACGGUGUCGCCAUCUCGUUGUGUUGUGUGUCAGUGUUAGUGAUGGUGGCCAUAGCGGUGGACAGAUUCACGUCUCUAGCGAGGCCGCUGCGGUACAAUAAUCUGAUCACUCAUUCUGCCGUGGAGAGGUACAUCUUGGUGUUUUGGGCUUACUCUUCAUUGGUAGGAUUCACGCCCUUGGGGUACUCCGUUUUGAAUCAUUUGGAUCAGCGCACAGAGAUUUGUUCGUUCGGCGGUCUCGUAGCCAAACCCAUACAGCUCUUCAUGUUCUGCGCAGUGUACGGCCCGAGCGCCGUCGUUCUACUCGUCUGCUACGGUUACAUCUACGUCGUAGCUCGAGGCCAUGCUCGGGCCAUCCGAUCGGAAGUACGUCAUUCUCGGCACUCGGCUCAACGAGCACCAAUGACGGGAGGGCCAGGGCCGCCUAGAUACGGUUUAGCGUUAGCUAUAACAGCGGGAAUGUUCCUCGUUCUUUGGUUACCAUUCCAGGUAUGCAUGCUGAUGGACGUCUUCAUCGGCACCAACAUCCUCACAGCUUGGAUCUCAGUCUACUUGGCGCUCCCCAUCCUAGCAAGCAGCGCCUUCAACCCGUGGGUCUACGGCUACCGGAAUUCCGAGCUUCGCCGAGCAGUACGCAGAGUAGUAGACGACCUCUUGACUGCCUUAGGCUUCACGCACCGCAGCAGCCACGGAACGUCAGACCAGCUUCCCCCCAGUGCAGCAGCAACAGCUGGAGACGUCGGCUCUUUCAUCAACAACGUGCAGAGAGACUGCUUCGAGUGGAAACCCGCAGCGGACUUCCUCCUGGUGCCCAUGGCGCACCCGGAAAGCUCCGGGGUCGUUUCUGACUGCGAGCAGCGCAUCUUCAGCGAUAAUCCUAGGCUGCUGCUCGCUGGCGAGGCGCCUAGACAGCUGCGGAUGUCCAGAAGCAUGGUAGAGAGCUUCGCCGUGAACCGGGGUUCGGACAUUGUGAUAAUAACCGGGAGGGAACGAGGGAUGAAGCACGGAUCUAGUGUGGUGUGAGGAGGAGAUUUAUGAUGUUGUUAUCCGAAGUUUGGGGAGUAGGAGUGGGAGAUUUUAAGCUUUGUCUAGUCAAUUUCUAUGUUUCUUUGUUUGUGAUUGUUCCAAUGAAGGAUGAAUGGGCGAAGGUGGGUUCUGCUUUUCAGUUGGUGGGAUGAUUUUGGAAAACUAGAUGUAGCUUAUGAAGAAGCCAACUAGGGAGUUCAACACUGAAGAAUCAAAUCGCGAAUGUCAAUGCUAAAUGGGGCUAUCAUUGGCGUGCUUACUCAUAAACAGCCUUGCCUCUUAAGUUGAGUCUAGCACCAAGAUCUGACUAAGGGGGCAGAAAUGAGUUCAAUUCAAAGAAAGCUAAGACUUGCUGAUAUUGAUGAAUAUAUUCUCAGAAGUUUUGGAAUAAUUCCACGAUGGAUGUCAUUCUCUUCAAUCACCUUUCAGCUAUUUUGAUGAUAACUGAAGUUUAUUCUCAGGGAACUACGCAAAUGAGAGUAUAACAUAAACGUCGCAUCUGAUACAAACAUUUUUCUGGCUACGGAAAAAUAGACAAAUAUCUCACAUGACGGUACUGGUUUCCUCCCAUCAAGAGGCCAAAUGUUUUGUGACUACUCUUGACGACUCAGAUGUUACUCAACUCGUGAAACUUUUCAGUUCCUGAAGGUACGAAGGAUGAAAUACAUAGACUAUUGUCUCGGGCUUCGACAUUAUAAUAGUAGCAACCAAAUGGUGCAAAAUCACCUCUCACAACAGUCAUUGAUUGAAUUGAGGCAUUUCAACUUCAAAAUGAAGACCUUUUGAAUAUCGAUAAUCAAUUAGUCAUACCAUCAAAUUUGAACUGAACGUAAUCAUAUUGGGUUUUGAUUUAUCAGUAUUAUAUUCCAGGCUAUGAACUUCCAUAGUUCUUGAUAUUUCAUCUUGAAAUCUGUUGACCAACUGAUGAGCAGAAUCAUCACCAUGUUGAAUGGCUUAUAUACAGGGUAACGAGCAAAAUUUAAGUUCUUGAGUCGGUUAUAUUGGUAGUUUCAUAUUGAAGCACAUUUUUCUUGUUUAUCAUCGAUAACUUCUCCAUAAGAAACUUACCUUUUAAUGAGAAUGAAGUAUGAGAGUAAAACUGUUACAAAAGCUGUUUAUGAAUAUGAAAAUUUUGCAAAUUUCUGUUGAUACUUCCUUUGAAAAAUGCGAAUGAAACUCCACAACACUUAUGAUUUUAUGAAGUUGCUCUUUCAUUCACUUUGAAAAUAAUUUCCAGAUUCAGUAUACUCUGACCCAAUUGUGAUGAGGUAUAAAAAGUCAACAGUGGACCAUGGAUGGAAUGUUGUAUACAAGUAUGAAUUUAUUUAGAAACGAACUCAUUAUAAUUGUUUUCAUUAAAAUUUAUUUUUUUAUCAAG